rnacentral:rRNA from 1 species
GAUGAACGCUGGCGGCGUGCCUAAUACAUGCAAGUCGAGCGAAUGGAUUGAGAGCUUGCUCUUAUGAAGUUAGCGGCGGACGGGUGAGUAACACGUGGGUAACCUGCCCAUAAGACUGGGAUAACUCCGGGAAACCGGGGCUAAUACCGGAUAACAUUUUGAACCGCAUGGUUCGAACUUGAAAGGCGGCUUCGGCUGUCACUUAUGGAUGGACACGCGUCGCAUUAGCUAGUUGGUGAGGUAACGGCUCACCAAGGUAACGAUGCGUAGCCGACCUGAGAGGGUGAUCGGCCACACUGGGACUGAGACACGGCCCAGACUCCUACGGGAGGCAGCAGUAGGGAAUCUUCCGCAAUGGACGAAAGUCUGACGGAGCAACGCCGCGUGAGUGAUGAAGGCUUUCGGGUCGUAAAACUCUGUUGUUAGGGAAGAACAAGUGCUAGUUGAAUAAGCUGGCACCUUGACGGUACCUAACCAGAAAGCCACGGCUAACUACGUGCCAGCCGCCGCAGUAA